AUGAACCAGCACUGCACAUCAAACUCAUUUCAAAGCUGCUUUACAGAAAGUCAUGAGGUCAGCAGUGCUGUCGUCUACAGUCCCAGCCUGACCUCACAGGCCUCCAGGUGUCACUCAUCUGUAGCUCCGCCUCCUGCCGCUCAGCCCACCAAUCACCUCACAGAACAGAUGCCGGCGUGUCACUGUUCGUCCAGCCAGUUCCCGGUGUCUGGACAGCCGUACCUGCGCAUGGGUUCAGUGCCAUACAGCGCUCAGAGUCAGAUUCCUCCCGCACCCCUGCAGCAGCCAGGUUAUCAAACUGUGAUGCCAAAUCAGCAGCAGAACUACCAGAACAUGAUGCAGCCGCCGCAGAAUCAGAUGCAAGGCAUGAUGGUCCAGCAUCCGUCAGUGCCAUCUUAUCAGCUCCUCCGUGGGGUUCCUGCCUCCUCCAGGAGCGGAGCAGAUGCUGUUCCACCGCACCACGGCACCCUGCGGCUCGCAACAGAUUCCCGCGCAGCAGUGCUCAGGAGCUCCGCCCCCAGCAGCAGGUGGACUGGUGUUACCUGUGUCCCAGCAGCCUCCUUACUUCAGCUCCCAUCACUCACGCUCUCAGAAGCACAGCGACGUCUGCGGUCUGCAGCCAACACGAUGACGAGCCGUGUCUGGAGCUCCGUCGUGUGGAUCCGUCCGGCUCUCAUUCUCCAAAAACAAUGACAGGACGAGAAGAAUCCAGCUCCACAGAACACAGCUGAGCUGACUGGAACAUAUCCGGAUACAGCCGGGACUGUGCUGCUCUUUAUUUUUUAUCUUUAUUCAUUGGUUCCACUUCAGAUGGACUCUUUCCAUUAUUCAGCCGUCGCUCCGUGUGUCGCGGUGUGUCUUCAGUCGGACGAACAACCUGCUUUUUGUACAUAACUGAUAAAGCAGCGGUGUAAUUCAGUCGAUUCUGUUUCCUCUGUGCAUAUUUGUGUUCAUUUCUCUGUUUUUAUUGAAGACAUACGCACCUCAGCAGAUCGCCUGUCAUGUUUGAAUAAGUCGAACGGUUGUGUUUUCUGUGGAUCUGUCAAAUGAUUCAUCACAUCCACAAUAAAAAUAAUUUUGUUUACAUAAUAUGUGUCUUCUGUGUAUAUUUUUAUGUACAUAUACUUACACACACAUAUACAGUAUAUAUCUUGAAAAUGUUUACAUCUGUUUUUAUAUUCAUAUAAUUUAUCAUGUGUAAAUAUAUUCAAUAUAUGAACAUAUUUUUCUGAAAUGUAUACAUGCAUGUGUGUGUAUUUAUAUAUAUACAGUGUACACACAUAUUUUAUGCCAACAAAAACUUUUAUGUUGUAUGUGAUUAAUCGUUUGGCAGCACUAAUUUGCUUUUUUUCACACACGUCAAUUCUUGUUUUUUUAUAUAAACUCUCUCUCUCUUAUAUAUAUAUGUAUAUAUAAAUCUAUUUUUUCUUUUAGAAAUCAGUGUGGAAGUCUGAAAGGCUGUUCAGUGUUUACUUUGAGAAUCAAUAAAUGUUUAGACCAAAUGAUCUGCUUAUCAAAAGCUGGCGUGCUGUGCCACGAGUCAGUUUUUUCACACAUACAGUAUAUAGACGCUCUUCAUUUAUCAGUCUUUAUGAAUCUUCCUCUGAUCUCAGCUGAUGCACGUGUCGUUCAUCUCAGUUCUGCUUUUAUUGGCUCGUUUGUCUGCUGCAUUAACCUGCUGUUCACCUCGUCUGUCCCAACACCCCUCGGUUCAUCUGUUCUCUUCUCUGUUUCCUCCUCCAGUAUCGUCAAAUCCUCCUCCUGCUGGUGCUCUUAUUGAUCCGCAGGGACUGGAGCUGCUGGAGCCCAUGAUAAAGGACAGCUUUAUCUUCUUCUGGAGGUCCGCUGAGGCUGUGACCUGGCUCUGUGCCAGCGAGACUAUUAACGUGUAAUAGCUCAGCCGAGAACGAGCUCCAUCUCUCAGCGUCCAGCUUCUGUUUAUUCAGCAGUAUGAUGUUUUUAUCAGAAAACCUCCACCGUCCAGACCUUCUGUUACACUACUGUAGAAGUGUGCAAUAACGCAGUAUUUCCAGCUAAAAACAUUGAAGUUACAGCAGAAGACUUCAGAGCUUCUUCACUCCGAGAUCUCUCUCGUCAGAUAAAAACUGCUGCAGUAUGAUAACAACACACAGAGAAAGCACCGAGACCGGAAAAUGGAGCCUGCUUUCUGCAAUCUUUCACAUUAUAUCGCAAGUUUUUAAUAUUUGCAUUAUUAAAAUAUGUCAAUUUCAGUGUUGUUUUAGUAUUAUUCAUAUGCAAUUAUCAUUUCUGUUAAUAUUUAAAGUUGGAUUUUAUUUUUAUAAAAUAAAAUAAAACAAGUUUUUAUAUCCUUUAUUUUUUUUUUACUUUUUUUUUUUUUUAAUGUGUGUGUGUGUGUGUGUGUGUACUUAAUUUUAGUAGCUACACUUCAUUGAAAAUGGAAAAUGUUGCCUUGGUAACUAGUGGACAUAAAAUUAGUAAGUUUUUAAAAAUAUUUUAUUUCAGUUAAUUUAUUUCAAGUAGUGAUUUUAGUUAAUGAUAAUUGUGGUACAUUUGCUCUACUUUCUUACAGUACCUUAGCAAUGAAUUAGUUAAAAAUCUGGGUGUUAUAUUAGACAGUAACUUGUCUUUUGAAAAUCAUAUUUCCCAUGUUACAAAAACAGCAUUCUUCCAUCUUAGAAACAUAAGCUACGAAACAUGUUACCUGUUCCUGAUGCAGAAAAGCUAGUUCAUGCAUUCAUGACCUCUAGACUGGACUAUUGUAAUGCACUGCUAGCUGGUUGUCCUGCAUCCUCAAUAAACAAGCUACAGGUAGUCCAAAAUGCAGCGGCUAGAGUACUUACCAGGUCAAGAAAAUAUGAUCAUAUUACCCCAAUAUUACAGUCUCUGCACUGGCUACCUAUUAAGUUCUGUAUCAGUUACAAAAUAUUAUUACUUACUUAUAAGGCCCUUAAUGGUUUAGCUCCUGCGUACCUAACUAGUCUUCUACCACGCUACAAUCCAUCACGCUCCCUAAGGUAUUAAUAUUUCCUAACAUUAUUACUAUAAAUAGUAUAAAAAUUAGUAUUCAGAUUAAAGCUGUUGAUUUAAUGUGUGAUGGAGUCUAUCAGAAUGCAGUUAUAUGAGCCUAAAAUUCAAGAUAUGAGGCAAAAAAUCUCUCCAAUAUCUGCACCACUGCAAACAUGACAUUCAUUUAUACAACAGUUAAAUAAACAAGAAGUUCAUAUUGUUACGUUAGACACAAUAUUGUGUGUUUUGCUCAAUUUAAAAGCCACGGCAGAACUGUUGAGCAUCUGAUCAACACACAGCGGUGAUUCUUUACUGAAUGAAUCGAGUGAGUCAAUGAUUCAGUGACUCAUUCAUAAAGACUCAUAAAGAAUCAGCUGUUUGAAUGAAUCGGUUGAAUGAAUGAUUCAGUGACAGGGACUUGCCACCGUAAUAUUAAUAUUCAGUUUAUUAUCAUUAUUCAUGCAAAGUUAUAUGAAAACAUUCCUUUCAACUGGUACUUUUUCAGUGCUGUAAAUGAUCCCUAAAUGGUCUUUUGAAGGGUUAUUUCUCAGCCAGAACUGAUAUGAGAUUAAUUUGCGAUUAAUGUAAUAAUUAACUGGCACAUCAUAUAAUUAAUAAGAAUAAAAAUGUUAAUUGCUUGACCACCCUAAUAAAAAUUUACAAAAGUAUUAAGCCACUGGAAGCAGCGACUGCUUCACAUUUGGUCUGAGAACAGCCGUUUACCGCAGUGAAAUUAUGGUAAUGCUUUUACUGACAAUCAACAGUUACAUUUUUUAGUAUUAAUGACUAGAGUAAUGAUGCUGAUGUUUUGAUUUACUGCAGUAAACCGUUUAAAGUCAGUUGUUUUAUGUGUGCACAUACUGAGACUCAUUUCUCCUCUACUCCUGAUGAACCUGAACACCAAACUGAAGCCAAUAAUGACCCGAGACCUCAUUACAUCGAACAAAACACAAUUACAGACGCGACCGCAAACAGUUCCUUAAACUGUGAAUAAAAAUAAGAGAGGCAACAGAGAAGUGCACAUCCUCUUCUUCCUCUUUUAAUCAGAAUGUUUCAUUUCCUAAGGAUAUAAAGCUGUUAGUGUGGAUGCAGAAGAUCUGCGGUCACAGGCACUGAAGACGUGAGAACACAGGCUUCCUUCAGCAGGACGCAGGAACUCCAGUCUGACCACAAACACACAAGUCUGAGUCUGUGAGGCGUUUGAUGGAGUAAACCAACAGCAGACGCCUUUCUCUCGCUGACAUUAAGUGAUGUCUGAGUUCUUGCACUGAGCAUUUCUUUUAAAAACAAUCAUGAAUUCUAAACUGGUUUUGAGGAGUUUUAUAUCAUACCAUCUGUGGGUUUGAAGCUGGUUUCCGCUGUAACAUUACAAACAUUAGAUAAGCUUUAGUUGUAUCUGUUCAUAUUAUUUAAUGGACCUAAGCUAACUUUAAUAGACCUACCUACAAAUGAAAGUCGGUGAGAGCUCUAAAGAGUUACUGACAGUUGUAACACACAAGGGACUUUUCAGAUACCAGCGUCUUCCUUUUGGUAUCACCUCGGCCCCUUCAUUGUUCCAGAGAGCCAUGGAUCAGGUGUUAAGUGGCCUGUUGGGGGACCAGUUCUUCUUAGAUGACAUCUUAGUGACAGGAAAAACGAAAGCAGAACAUCUGAGUAAUCUGGAUAGUACACUCCAGCACCUAAAGGGAUAUGGUUUAAGAGUGAGAAAAGACAAAUGUGAGCUUUUCAAGCAGUCUGUUGAAUAUCUUGGACAUGUGAUCGAUGCUGAUGUACUGCACAAGGCACCUUCAAAAGUAAAGGCUGCACUAGAGGCUCCAGCACCACAGAACGUCAGCCAGCUUCGCUCAUUCAUAGGUCUUCUGAAUUACUAUGGUUGAUUGAUCAAUGGCUUAGCCACACUGCUGAAACCUCUACACCAACUUCUGUGUAGUAACCAGAUAUGGGAAUGGACACAGCAGUGUGAGACUACCUUUCAAGAAGCCAAGAAAGCUCUGGUGAAGUCUGGUGUGCUGAUCCAUUUUAAUCCAAAACUCCCCUUACAGUUAGCCUGUGAUGCGUCACCUUAUGGUGAUUUCCCACAUCGUGCCUUCAGGAGAAGAGAGGCCAAUAGCAUUUGCCUCGCGCACCUUUAACAAAGUGGAGAGCAAGUAUGCGCAAAUCAAGCAAGAAGCUUUGGGAAUCAUUUUUGGUAUUCAGAAAUGUCACCAGUACCUGUAUGGCAAGCAGUUCAUACUGCUGACUGAUCACCGGCCUUUAACCACCAUUCAUGUGCCGCACACAGGUGUCCCCUCUCUGGCAGUGAGCCGAAUGCAGAGAUAUGCUCUGUUAUCAGCGCACACAUAUGAAAUAAGAUAUCAGAAGGCAGAGCUGCAUGUAAAUCCAGACUGUCUAUCAAGGCUACCAUUACCCGUGACAUUUCCCGAGAGCAAGCAGAAAGACAUUUUCUACUUUGAGCAAGUCACAAUGGCUCCAGUGACAUCAGCACAGGUCAGAAGAUGCACAGGGAACGAUCCAAUUCUGUCUGAAGUCAUGGAAAUGGUAAAAGAUGGACAUGUCUCUAAG
ensembl:lncRNA